UACAGAGGUCUCAAGCGUUGUUCGGAUUCAUUGGGCGUAAAGGGUGUGUAGGUGGCGCCGUAAGUCGGGUGUGAAAUCUCGGGGCUUAACUCCGAAACUGCAUUCGAUACUGCGGUGCUUGAGGACUGGAGAGGAGACUGGAAUUCAUGGUGUAGCAGUGAAAUGCGUAGAUAUCGAGAGGAACACCUGCGGCGAAGGCGGGUUGCUGGGCUGAUACUGACGCUGAGGCGCGAAAGCUAGGGGAGCGAACGGG
rnacentral:rRNA from 1 species